GAGCGUUUACCACGAAAAAUAUACAACAUGAAUACUCGAACAUGCACAAUCAAACUUCGUGCGUAUUUUGAAUAAUUACUUCAUUAGAAAUAAUUAAAUGUUUAUCUGAUAACUAAAUUAACUCAUCACUUAUAUACAAAUUAUAUAGAUGAGAAUUCGGAGAGGAUAUUCUUGAUAGUCCAGGCACUACAGAGCCCCCAGCUACCAGACUUUGGUCCCCAAAGUUAUAUGAAAUGAAGCAUUAAAAAAAACUUGCAAGCUCAUAAAUAUCGCAAUAUUGAGAGUCUGAGAAGAAUAACACACACUGGUUACAUUCAAUGGAACAUCAUUCAUUCAAGGCCAUUUUUCACAGAUGUUGGCUGAUCAGCACCUGAUGCAUACGUUGUAGAACUGCUGCCUCCAAAGUUGGAAUACGGUUUAUACACAUGUACAACCACACAAGUUCUCCUUCACAAUCAUCCAAAAACGUAGUCCAAAGAAUAGCAUUUCCCAAGAUUCGCAGAGUUUAUUUUCACCAAUAAAAUCUUUACUUCAAAUUCUA